GACGAACGCUGGCGGCGUGCUUAACACAUGCAAGUCGAACGAUGAAGCCUAGCUUGCUAGGUGGAUUAGUGGCGAACGGGUGAGUAAUACGUGAGUAACCUACCUUUAACUCUGGGAUAAGCCUGGGAAACUGGGUCUAAUACCGGAUACGACCAAUCUCCGCAUGGGGUGUUGGUGGAAAGCGUUAUGUAGUGGUUAUAGAUGGGCUCACGGCCUAUCAGCUUGUUGGUGAGGUAACGGCUCACCAAGGCGACGACGGGUAGCCGGCCUGAGAGGGUGACCGGCCACACUGGGACUGAGACACGGCCCAGACUCCUACGGGAGGCAGCAGUGGGGAAUAUUGCACAAUGGGCGCAAGCCUGAUGCAGCGACGCCGCGUGAGGGAUGACGGCCUUCGGGUUGUAAACCUCUGUUAGCAGGGAAGAAGAGAGAUG
rnacentral:rRNA from 1 species